CGAUUGAAAAUAGUCACAGUGACUGUUACACCAAAACACUCGAUUACAGAGUAAAGAUUUUGGUUGCAAUUGGCGUUUUGUGAUCACAUUCUCCAUCUUCUUCUUCUUCUUUGAGAUAAACAAAGAGAUUUGUUUACUCUCUAUCUCAGGAUUUCUUCACACAUCUGCUCUUACGAGACCAUCAAAAGACGGUUUCGAUUUUAGGGUUUUUGUUUUCCCCAAAUCAGAUGAUCUAAACAAGGAGAUUGUUCUUCGUCCCUAAGAAACAUGGAAUUGGAACACAGCUUGGAGGCGGCGAAAGAGAGCAAUUAGCUCCGGCGAAGCUCUGCAAUCCCAAAGCUCCGAUCUGUUUCAUCAAAAUCUCUGGUUCAGGUCCAAUUCUAUUAGUAGCCGAUACAAUCAGAUCAACAUCUUUUAUCAUCUUCAAAACAGGUCGUCUUGUAUCGUCGGAGCUAAUGUUUUCCUUGUUCUUAUUAAACGCGCUCAAUGUCUCACCGCGUUUGAGGAUCUUGACUUGUUCCAUUACAAGAUUUGGAUUCGCCGCCGGAGAUUUAACAACCGUAGGGCUUUGCUUGCGUCGGCGAGGAGCUGUUGAAGAGUUGCGGCAAAGACGAGGCUUAGGGUUACGGUGGAUUAGGGUUUGGUGCUCGAAUCGAUGGUUUUGAGAAGAGUAAGACAUCGCAGUGGCCAUUGCUUUUAGCUUUUUGAUUAGAGAGAGGGAAUGUGAGAUUUUUUUUAAGUCUCAAGGAGUUCUUAUAUAAUAGAGAGACCCGUGAGGCCGU
rnacentral:lncRNA from 1 species